rnacentral:rRNA from 1 species
GACGAACGCUGGCGGCGUGCUUAACACAUGCCAGUCGAACGGAAAGGCCCUGAUUUUGUGGGGUGAUCGAGUGGCGAACGGGUGAGUAACACGUGAGUAACCUGACCUUGACUUUGGGAUAACUUCAGGAAACUGGGGCUACUACAGGAUAGGAGCUCCUGCUGCAUGGUGGGGGUUGGAACGUUUCGGCGGUUGGGGAUGGACUCGCGGCUUAUCAGCUUGUUGGUGGGGUAGUGGCUUACCAAGGCUUUGACGGGUAGCCGGCCUGGGAGGGUGACCGGCCACAUUGGGACUGAGAUACGGCGCAGACUCCUACAGGAGGCAGCAGUGGGGAAUAUUGCACAAUGGGCGGAAGCCUGAUGCAGCAACGCCGCGUGCGGGAUGACGGCCUUCGGGGUGUAAACCGCUGUCGCCUGUGACGAAGCGUGAGUGACGGUAAUGGGUAAAGAAGCACCGGCUAACUACGUG